GGGGUCGACCGGAAUUGACAGGAUGGAGAUAAAUAGGUAAGCAUGCAGCGCGUUGGGUGAAUUAGCGCUUAAAUCUGAACGCUCAAACUUACAAAUGGCGAAAAUAACUACGCCUUAGCUGCCUAAUUUAGAAUUAGCAUAGCUUUUGUCCCGCCGGUUUUCCGUUCUGUUGAAUCGGUAUUUGGGGCAUCAUCAAACAGAACUGGUCUGCUUACGGUGCGAUAAGUGGACGAGAUAAAGCACCUACGGAUACGGUAUAGGCAAGCAACUGGCCUUCCUUGUCCCGACAAUUAAACAGAAGCUAAGCAUGUAGAAAGCUUAUCUUAUACCAUGUUUGGACGAGGGUUCGAAUCCCUCCGGCUCCACGA
rnacentral:tmRNA from 1 species